rnacentral:sRNA from 1 species
AUCCAUUGGCAGACAUAGGAGUUGACUUCGAGGCGAUCAACAGGAGAGAGAAACGGCUGGAGAAACAAACAAACACACCAGCAACAUCGACUAUCAAUAUGGGUAAAGCCAUGGGAUCAGGCACUGGCUUAGGGCGUUCUGGUGCAACUGCUAUGAGACCUCCAC